rnacentral:lncRNA from 1 species
CCAGGGAUGGAACCACAUCCUUGUGGAUACUAGUCAGGCUCGUUAACUGCUGAGCCAUGAAGGGAACUCCCUACUUCUUCACUUUUGAAGGCAGGGAAAGAUCAUCUAGUCUUAAGCUCAGGAAGGUGUUUAUUGGCAUCAUAUUAACCCUUUAGUGACAUAUAGUUCACUGAUAUCUUUAUAUUUGAGGAUAAGGCCUUGUGAAAAAUCAUACUCCCUUGCAGAUGUCUCAUUGUAUGUCUCGCAAGCAGAGAAAUUUGAAUGUUCAAUAUGCCAGGCUGUAUGCUUUCUUUUCUGUUAUUACAUUAUACUUCAGAUCCAUAUUUUUGUCUGGCUUGCUUAAAGACAUUUAGAAAUUUAUUGCAUUCAUCUUUUUCUUUUUCAUCCAAGGCAGCAUCCUCAAGAGGAACAGGACAGAAUAGUAAAUCCUAGAAACAGAGGAAUCCUAGGCUAGCAUCCUAGCUCUACCGCUUAUGACUGGGUAUCAUCUAACUAGCCACAUAACUCUUUAAGCCUCAGACUUCCUUCUUGUAUAGGAAAAAAGACUUGUCUAGAUAUUAUGAUAACUUCCAGUUCUAAAAUAUUUUGUAAGAGAGAAAUCUUACUUUGUUAAAGACAAUAUGAAGUGUAACAGUAAAAGUCAAACAGUCAAGAACAUCUGCAAUCAGGGUAGGUAGCAGGCUGUGCCCAUGUGUUCUAAAAGCCUAGUCCUGACACCAGAGUUUUACACUGCAACAGCAUAAUCAUUCCUACCAGCAUGUUCCAUUAAAGCUUGACUUACUGCCAGGGAAUUCACCUGCUGACACAGUAAAACUCCUAACUGGAAGCAUUAACAUUGCAAUGUCAGAUGGGGAAAAAAAAAUGUUCAUAAAUUCCACGAACGUGCACUGCUUUACUUGAGGUCCUGGUUGCAAACUCGUUAUUUAUGCUGUGUACAGUAGGCCAUCAACAGAUCCCACUGGGAAAUUAGUUUGCAAUUUAGAAUCGUUUCAAAGUACAAGUGAUUCUCAAGUCAUUUUCCGAGGUUAAAUGAGAACUCUUAUUGCUUUCCGUGGGCUCAGAGGGAAUUUUUACUCUGUGUGUUCCCUCCUCCCCCAGCUCCUGCUACACUGUCUUGAUUUUUCUUUCUUAAAUGCGCUUUGGUGCUAAAUCUCUCUUUUUCAAUUUUUGAAAGCUGGUAAAUGGAAUGGUAUUUGUUGCAUUUUCUUGCUUGCUGGGACUCCUUAAGCACCUCACUUUUGAUUACUGCUUUUAUUCUUUGAAGACUCCUGAGAGGUUUCCCUGUGCUCUACCAACUACAUUGCUUAGCUAACAGAGGAGUGAUUUGGAAAGAUUGGCUGGCAUCCGCUUUAGGAUGCAGUGAAUCAGAGUCAUCAUCCCACUUCCCUUCCAGCUUCUCACUCUGGGGGGCCGUGCCAUGGGACAGGGCUCCAGGCGGGCAGACUAAGGGCACAAGGAAUGAGUCUUACAACUGCAGAAGAUGUGAACGGGAGGUUCAGUCUUGCUUAUGGGCUCAUGAGCCCACGGUAUAGAACAAACUGUUGAGAUAAAAAGUGUCCCACUGAUCCUUUCCGCCUUCACACACCCCUUGAUUCAAUUCAGAACAUCCUUAAGCAUAUUUUUAAGCUUUAUUUUACUGGUAAUUGUGUGUAUAUCUUCUCAAUCUUACCCCCAACCUAGGAGAACUGACCUUAAACCAUCUGGUAGAUAAUUUGUAACCUGAUAUUACCCUUGGAGAAUAAAGAGCAUUAUUUUAGUGUACCAUUGUACCCUUGAUCAUUCCCAGAAAGGAGCAAAUAAUCCAUAGUGUUAAGGUCUUUGAGGAAUUUUUUUUCUUUUCCUCCUUUCUCAAUAAGUUGCUGAAAUGCCAAAGCUGGUAUUAUUAGCUAUAAUGAAUAAACAUCAAAUAGAAAAUAAAUCAUUAAAUGACUCCCCUUCUCUGAUGAGAAACACUAGGGUUCAUUUGAAACCAAGAUUUCAACAUCUCUCUAAUGCAUUGGGAGAGUGUUUCCAUAGGCUCAGACCAGAAAGUAUACAAACCAAAGAGAUUGAGUGUUUAGUUUCAAAAUACAUGAAAUCACUAGUUUAAACAUAGAAACUACACACAAAGAGUGCAAAGACACAAUGAAAGCUGGAGAUCAACAGGGUAAAUAUCACCUAGAAAUACUAACAGUCUUAAAGGUCAGAAAUCCUUAGUUAAACAAAAAGACCCAUCCAUUAAAAACAAUCAAUUACAAGAUAACCUGAGAAUACCACACUAUGCAUUCCCUUUAAAAGCAGAUGUUGUUCUGCUAAGAGCUAUUAGCUAUGUGCUUUAGAGGUAAAUAGAUAGAGCAGGUAACAAACAGAGACUAAAACCCGAAGGAAAAGAAACCAAAAAUUAAGUGCAUUUGGAACUGCUUGAUAUUGAAUUUCUCAGGCACAGGGAAAAGGCUUUUGUCUCAUGGACAUCCAUCGCUACCUGUCAGCGCCUAGCUCUUUGGUAAUGCACAGAAAAAAACUUCACUAGUUACAAUAUUCUGAGUUAGUCUUUUUGGGUUGAAAUUGGCUUAAAACGUUUUCCUUGAUUAUAGAUAAUUCUUUUUCUACUAAUAUUUGAAUGUCAACAUGCUUUAAAAAUGAUCUUCCUUUCCUUCAAGAUUUGGAAGAGGUGGGUGUUGAUUUGGUUUUCUACUACUUUCUAUAGUUUUUUCUUUCUACAUGUAAUAUAUGUCUUAUAACUUGUGAACAUCUCAUAUAUUCAAUGCAUCUUUGUCUUUGUUUGGUAAAAUAAUAGGUUAGAUAAGGAUGAUACUUGGCAUAUAGAAACUUAACAUCUUUUAAUGUAUGAGAACACUUGAGUGGAUGGUAUUUAUAAAGAUAUUUCUCAUGUCCCUGAGAACUCUCUUUUCCAGACUUCCAUAUUGCCAUUUGUACUUUUAGACAGCAUACUAAUUAUUUGUCACUAAAUCCCCAAAUCUUCUCAUAUGUAUGGAGAUGGGCUGAACUGGUGAAAACGUCUCAACUCUCAAGGACAGUGUCUUAUCAUUAAGGCAAUUUCAGAGAUUCUUAGAUUUUUUUUUUAACAUUUCAUAAGUAGUUAAAAACAAUUUUCUACAAUGUGGCAAAAAUAAGCAGUAGGAUAUGAUCUUGUGUCUUCUCCAUUUCCAUAAAUAUUGUUUGAACAAGAGAAGAACUAGUCAUAUUCCACUUUCCGCUUCUCAAAGUUGUAACCUACUUUGACUUUGUCAUAGAGCCUUCUAUGACAAACUACAAAAAAGGGAUUACUGUAUCUUUAUUAGUAGAAUGAUACAUUAAUAUAUCUUUCUUUCCUCUCUCCCUAAAAUGUUAAGCUUCAUUCAAAAGUCUUAUUUUAAACCACAUGACAUAGGACGCUUCUUCUACCUAAAUUAGGAUCUGAAUGAUACUAUAACUGCAUCCUUGAAAAUAAUCCGAGGCAAAAUCCAUGGUAAAUCCAUGUUUUCUAGAUCACUAAAACAUAGCAUCGAUGCUGUGCUUUCAGGUGAACUUCUACAAAAUGCAAGCAUAUUAUUGAAAUCAAAAAAACCCCAAUGAUUGCAGGGCAGAAAGAGGACUCAUUAGAAUAUGCUCAUGUUGACAAGUUGAAUGAGGGGCUGAAGAUGCUGAAGAAAGUCAGGAAUCCUCUUCUUUAUGUGAAUAUCUGUCUAAAUCUAAUCCUAAGUAUAAACCAGAGUCUAACCUAUCACUCAUUAGCAUUAGUGUCCUCUCCCUCUAGCUACCCACACAUUUUGGUUUUGAUUAUGAAUGUGUCAUUUCUGGGGAUUAUUUUCCCAUUAGAUGUAAUCAUACAUUCUGAACCUUUGCUUAAUUGUCCUGAAAUGUUUGCCAACAAGGAAGAAGAGAAUAGGAUACAUGCCUCCUCUCCCUAAAACACGAAUUACCACCAGGCGUUCACUUUUUCUCUAGCCAGUCCCAUGGUCAGGCCUCUGGAGCAGAGACUGUACACAAACUGCCUGAUUAUGAGGUUCUCGCUAAUCAAAGUGAAAUUUUGCAAAGACAACAUAAGCAGCCUCAAAAUCUGCUGUUCUUGACACACAAACAUGAGCCCUUGGAUCUAGAAGGAACAAGGAGGCUAUAGCAUCUUUAAUAAAGUGGUUGAAGCCAGGGGUUGAAAGAACACAGAGCAUCCCUUUCUUCAGCUGGCAUUCACAACUGUGUCCCUGUCAGCAACUCAGACUCCAGACAGUCAAAACAGAACCCUUGAGUUCGCUUCAUUCCCUCCAAAGCUUGCUGCUCUGCUAGGCAGAGAUCAACAUUUUGGGGAAUUUUUUAAAGUGCUAUUUCUGAAGGCAGAGAGGAGAACAGAGACAUAACUGCACUGCCCCACUGAUUAGUUGGGCUUGCUUUCUUUUGUAAGUCUCUCAGAAACAUGGUGGCCCUCUCUGCAUGGGUUUUUAAAGUGCUUCUGUCUGAAUGCCCUUGGAACACUGAACAACAAAACAAAACAACAACAACAACAAAACAAAGUCUAGGCGGCACGUAGCCAGAUUUGAAUUUAAAAAGUUGCUAAUUUGGGACUCACUUCUCUCCAAUAGAAUUAUACGUGUGUAAGAAUUAUACACACACGGCUGAGGCUUUUCUCUGCUUAAAAAACAUCUGCAGUCAAUUAGAAAUAAGCCUGAGUGUCGUGUUAAUUCUGCAGAACCAAACAAAGUCAUUUUUGUUUAAACUCUUUCAGUGCUGUGAGAAUGAGAGGUUACAGGAGGAGGAAAAAAAAAAAAAAAGCAAUAGAACAAAACUACCCUGUGGCCCUGGAAGGGAGUUGAGGAGGCAAAUAAGAAUUACUUUUCUUUGAGAAUAUGAACCUGGAAAUUUGUUCCAGGAGGAUUCUAUUCUUUCCUAUUUCUCUCUUGGAGUAUGGGGAGUGGGGAGCAAGCCUACCCUUUCUUCUAAAAAGGCAACUUUUAAAAAAGCAAUGAAACAUUCUCCAGAUUCCCUCAAAAUAAAUUUGACCAGUUGAUGUGUUUGGCAAAUGAGUGGUAGCACUUCAUUUUUAAUUUUGUGGAAAGCCAAACAAAUCAAACUAUAUUUGUAGACCAUUGUGUGCAUUUCAAAUCACUGUCAUAGUUGCUAAAUGUGAUUGGUGUUCUGACUUCAGAUAUACUAAAAGCAACCAUUUCCACUGAAAUACUUAUCUUGCCGUGAAUAUCGGUGUUCAUGUCCACCUUUUGUUAACAGCAGUAGCAUUGAUUCCACUGGCACUGGAAUUUAUCUCUCUCAGAGAAGUCUGUGGAUAACCAGAGAUACCAUUUCCACACAACCACACUAGAGCUACAUGUUUUUAGGGUUGAUGGUCUCUAAAUAUAAAAGAGAAUUUCAACUCUUCCUUUGGGCUGAUGCAUUAUUUCUUCUCCAUAUCUCCCCUCCCCUUCCUUCCUUCCUCUUUCUUUUUCAUUUAAAAGUUUCAUUGAAGUGGGAGCUCCUGUCAUGGCGCAGAGGAAACGAAUCUGACUAGGAACCAUGAGGUUGGGGGUUCAAUCCCUAGUCUCUCUCAGUGGAUUAAGGAUUUGGUGUUGCUGUGAGCUGUGGUGUAGGUCACAGAUGUGGCUCAGAUCUGGUGUUGCUGUGGCUGUGGUGUAGGCCAGCGGCUACAGCUCCAAUUAGACUCCUAGCCUGGGAACCUCCAUAUGCCAUGAGUGCAGCCCUAAAAA